rnacentral:rRNA from 1 species
UGAGGAAUAUUGGGCAAUGGGCGGAAGCCUGACCCAGCAACGCCGCGUGAAGGAAGACGGCCUUCGGGUUGUAAACUUCUUUUUUGGGGGAAGAGAGAGGACGGUACCCCAAGAAUAAGUCACGGCUAACUACGUGCCAGCAGCCGCGGUAAUACGUAGGUGACAAGCGUUAUCCGGAAUUACUGGGCGUAAAGCGCACGCAGGCGGUGCGUUAAGUCUGACUGGAAAUUUCCCGGCUGAACUGGGAGGGGUCGGUGGAGACUGGCGUGCUUGAGGCGAGGAGAGGGGUGUAGAAUUCCCGGUGUAGUGGUGGAAUGCGUAGAUAUCGGGAGGAAUACCAGUGGCGGAAGCGACACCCUGGCAUUAGCCUGACGCUCAGGUGCGAAGGCGUGGGGAGCGAACG